rnacentral:pre_miRNA from 1 species
GCCGGCGAACCCUUCGACGGGCUCGGGGUCCGGGACCUCGGCCCCUGAUCCUGAGACCUCGGUCCCUGAGCCCGUCGAAGGGUCGCUCACG